rnacentral:rRNA from 1 species
UUCUUGGUCAUUUAGAGGAAGUAAAAGUCGUAACAAGGUUUCCGUAGGUGAACCUGCGGAAGGAUCAUUAAAGAAAUUUAAUAAUUUUGAAAAUGGAUUUUUUUGUUUUGGCAAGAGCAUGAGAGCUUUUACUGGGCAAGAAGACAAGAGAUGGAGAGUCCAGCCGGGCCUGCGCUUAAGUGCGCGGUCUUGCUAGGCCUGUAAGUUUCUUUCUUGCUAUUCCAAACGGUGAGAGAUUUCUGUGCUUUUGUUAUAGGACAAUUAAAACCGUUUCAAUACAACACACUGUGGAGUUUUCAUAUCUUUGCAACUUUUUCUUUGGGCAUUCGAGCAAUCGGGGCCCAGAGGUAACAAACACAAACAAUUUUAUCUAUUCAUUAAAUUUUUGUCAAAAACAAGAAUUUUCGUAACUGGAAAUUUUAAAAUAUUAAAAACUUUCAACAACGGAUCUCUUGGUUCUCGCAUCGAUGAAGAACGCAGCGAAAUGCGAUACGUAAUGUGAAUUGCAGAAUUCCGUGAAUCAUCGAAUCUUUGAGCGCACAUUGCGCCCCUUGGUAUUCCAGGGGGCAUGCCUGUUUGAGCGUCAUUUCCUUCUCAAACAUUCUGUUUGGUAGUGAGUGAUACUCUUUGGAGUUAACUUGAAAUUGCUGGCCUUUUCAUUGGAUGUUUUUUUUCCAAAGAGAGGUUUCUCUGCGUGCUUGAGGUAUAAUGCAAGUACGGUCGUUUUAGGUUUUACCAACUGCGGCUAAUCUUUUUUUAUACUGAGCGUAUUGGAACGUUAUCGAUAAGAAGAGAGCGUCUAGGCGAACAAUGUUCUUAAAGUUUGACCUCAAAUCAAGGUAGGAGUACCCGCUGAACUUAAGCAUAUCAAUAAGCCGGAGGAA